rnacentral:rRNA from 1 species
AACGAACGCUGGCGGCGUGCCUAAUACAUGCAAGUCGAACGAGAAAGUGGCUUCGGCCAUGAGUACAGUGGCAGACGGGUGAGUAAUACAUGGGUAAUCUACCUCCGAGAUUGGGACAACCUUCCGAAAGGAGGGCUAAUACCAAAUGAGACCACAGUGACACAUGUCACAGGGGUUGAAGGUGGCCUCUAUUUAUAAGCUAUCGCUUGGAGAUGAGCNCAUGCACCAUUAGCUAGUUGGUGAGGUAACGGCUCACCAAAGCUCUGAUGGUUAGCUGAUCUGAGAGGUUGAUCAGCCACACUGGAACUGAGACACGGUCCAGACUCCUACGGGAGCAGCAGUAGGGAAUAUUGCGCAAUGGAGGAAACUCUGACGCAGCGACGCCGCGUGGGUGACGAAGGCC